CUCUUUUUCCUCCAAGUGAAGGAGGGAAUCCUCAGUGAUGAGAUUUACUGCCCCCCUGAGACCGCAGUGCUUCUGGGGUCCUAUGCCGUGCAGGCCAAAUUUGGGGAUUAUAACAAAGAGGUGCACAAAGCCGGGUACCUCAACUCCCAGCGGCUGAUCCCUCAAAGAGUUAUGGACCAGCACAAACUUACCAGGGACCAGUGGGAGGACCGGAUCCAGGUGUGGCACGUGGAGCACCGUGGGAUGCUCAAAGACAGUGCUAUGUUGGAGUAUCUCAAGAUUGCUCAGGACCUGGAAAUGUAUGGUAUCAACUAUUUCGAGAUCAAAAAUAAGAAAGGAACAGACCUCUGGCUUGGAGUUGAUCCCCUUGGACUAAACAUUUAGGAGAGGGAUGAUAAGUUGACCCCAAAAAUUGGCUUCCCUUGGAGUGAAAUCAGAAACAUCUCUUUCAAUGACAAAAACUUUGUCAUUAAACCCAUCCACAAAAAGGCACCUGACUUUGCGUUCUGUGCCCCGCGCCUGAGGAUCAACAAGCGCAUCCUGCAGCUGUGCGUGCGGAACCACCAGCUCUACAUGCGCCGGCGGAAGCCCGACACCAUCGAUGUGCAGCAGAUUAAGGCCCAGGCCUGCAAGGAGAAGCACCAGAAGCAGCUGGAGCUGCAACAGUUGGAAACUGAGAAGAAAAGGAGAGAAACUGUUGAGAGAGAGAAAGGACAGAAGAUGCGUGAGAAUGAGGAGCUCAUGCUCAGGCUGUAGGACUACGAGGAGAAAACCAGAAAGGCAGAGAGAGAACUCUCUGAGCAGAUUCAGAGAGCCUUGCAGCUGGAGGAAGAGAGGAAGCGGGCGCAGGAGGAGGCCGAGCGCCUGGAUGCUGACCGCAUAGCCACACUGCGGACCAAGGAGGAGCUGGAGAAACAGGCAGUGGAUCAGAUAAAGAGCCAGGAGCAGCUGGCUGCGGAGCUUGCAGAGUACGCUGCCAAGAUGGCCCUCCUGGAGGAGGCCAGGCGGCGCAAGGAAGAUGAGGUGGAAGAGUGGCAGCACAGGGCCAAAGAAGCCCAGGAGGACCUGGGGAAGGCCAAGGAGGAGCUGCACUGGCCAUGACCGCGCCUCCACCCCCCCACCCCUCCUGUACGAGCCGGUCACCUACCACAUGCCCGAGGGCCUGCAGGAGGAGGGCACAGAGCCCAUGAGCUACAGCGGGGAGCUGCUGUCCAGCGAGGGCAUCCUGGACGACUAUAACGAGGAGAAGCGCAUCACCGAGGCCGAGAAGAACGAGCGUGUGCAGCGGCAGCUGCUAAGCAACGAGCUGUCCCAGGCCAGAGAUGAGAACAAGAGGACCCACGACGACAUUAUCCACAACUAGAACAUGAGGCAGGGCCGGGACGAGUACAAGACGCUGAGGCAGAUCCGGCAGGGCAACACCAAGCAGCGGAUCGAUGAGUUUGAGGCCACGUAAUGGCCGGGACUGGGCAGAGGGGCACCCCGAGGGCCCUGCCAGCCUUGUUGUGCCUGUAUCUUUAGCACUCCAAAUCUAGGCACCCCCUUUCGCACCCUGGUCCCUUUACAAAGAGAGUGUUUAUCCUGGCGGAGAUAUUCUGGGCUGGGAACCAGUGGAAUCCUCUCUGGUCUAUUUUUUCCGAUUGUAUUAUAGUGCCAACCAGGCCUGAUUUUUAUGAUUGCUGUUGAAUCACCUCCCAUGUUGUGCUUGGCGUAGGACUGAGUGAAUUAAGGCAGGCCACCUGUAAGUGUGAGCAGCAAGCUCCACACUGGCAUGUGUGACAUGAGAUUUGGUACCAUUAAAGAAACCACAUCGUGGCUUAAAUCUGUGCCAUACUUUUUCUGUAUUUGAAAUGAGCUCAAAUCAACCUGUUUUUUGAUUUCUGUGAAGGAUCCAUCUUUGUAUAUUCCAUGUUUUGAGGGUUGAAAAUUAAGAUUGCGGCUGAAGCACUCGCACGUGUACGAUUAUUUCUUCCCUCCUGUCAGUCCGUGCAGCUGGUGGCAGGGCCGUGGCUCACUCGGCAUGGGCACUGUGGGAGGGCACGCUUGGAUCAACUUUUUAAGAUAUUUUUUUUCCUUUUUGGUUUUCUGCUUAUCAGUUAGAAGGACACAUUGUUGGACUUACAUGCCUAAUUAAUGAUAAGCUGUAGAAUGUAGUAUUUAUAAGUGACAAUAUGGGUUUGUAACAUUAGUUUUAAAAAGGGAAAGUUUUGUUC